rnacentral:rRNA from 1 species
AAACUGCGAUAUGUAGUGUGAAUUGCAGAAUUCAGUGAAUCAUCGAGUCUUUGAACGCAAAUGGCGCUUCUGGUCCUGCCAGGAGCACGUCUGUCUGAGAGUUUGCU